rnacentral:rRNA from 1 species
GCCUCUUCGGGGGUGGAUUAGUGGCGAACGGGUGAGUAACACGUGGGCAAUCUGCCCUGCACUUCGGGACAAGCCCUGGAAACGGGGUCUAAUACCGGAUAUGACUCGGGGAGGCAUCUCUUCCGGGUGGAAAGCUUCGGCGGUGCAGGAUGAGCCCGCGGCCUAUCAGCUUGUUGGUGGGGUGAUGGCCUACCAAGGCGACGACGGGUAGCCGGCCUGAGAGGGCGACCGGCCACACUGGGACUGAGACACGGCCCAGACUCCUACGGGAGGCAGCAGUGGGGAAUAUUGCACAAUGGGCGGAAGCCUGAUGCAGCGACGCCGCGUGAGGGAUGACGGCCUUCGGGUUGUAAACCUCUUUCAGCAGGGAAGAAGCCUUUAAAGUGACGGUACCUGCAGAAAAAGCACCGGCUAACUACCUGCCAGCAGCCGCGGUAAUACCUAAGGUGCGAGCGUUGUCCGGAAUUAUUGGGCGUAAAGAGCUCGUAAGCGGCUUGGCCCGUCCGAAGUGAAAGCCCGGGGCUUAACCCUGGGUCUGCAUUCCAUACGGGCAGGCUGGAGUUCGGUAGGGGAGAUCGGAAUUCCUGGUGUAGCGGUGAAA